AGACUUGUGCAGAUCUCUUAAGGCCAGCCUUGCCUUUUUAUUAGGCUCUCUUUUAGAUAUCUAUUGUAUUUCUUUUUUAAAAUAGGAGUGAAAGAAUUCCUUGCCAGGAACGUAGUAGGUAAUUUAAAGAAUGAAAAUGAUGGAUAUAGAGACAUUACAUAGCUACUUAAAUAUAAAUAAGACACUGCAUCUUCAUCCAGAUACACUUGAUAUAGCAAUCAGACUUUCUUCCCUAAUAAACUCAGUGUAAGUCUGAGAGAUUGCAAAAGCCAUCAGAAAAUGAGACAUGCUACUUUGAUUGUUAAGUUCACUGCAACCCUACGGGCCUAAUUUCAUGUUAAUUUAUCUUGAUAUUACCUCAUUUCAAUUAAUGUGGUGAAAUAGUUGUAUAAUAUUACAUUUCAUAAGACUGCUUGCAAAAAAAAAGAAAAGUGAAUUAAAAAAAAUAAUCCUGGCAUAAUUUCUCUUGCCGUGUCAGUUAAAAACACAGCAAUUUUUCAUUUGCAUGUUUAAACAGCUCUUUUUCCAUGAAAAGGUAUGCUUAGAUCCCUGAAUUACAUAAAAUACAUCGGAAGUUGGGAAGCGUGUGUUGGAAGUUCAUUAAAGUUGAUCAGAUAUAACGGCUCCAGACAGAGGCAAAGAAUAACUCCAACCUACAAUAAAUUCUGGUACCAGAGAUGAGAUAUCUAAAUUCACUGCACUGUGACUCCUGCACACUAAACCAUGCCUGAUGGGUGGAUGUUGCUCUGACAGGUAUGUUUUAUGUGUUUAGAAUACAUUUGACAUGACUUCCUGAAGUUCACUCCCACCACUCUUUUCUCUGGACUUGUUGGUGUAUUUGCUCUCAUUUCAUGCUCUCUCUGCAAAGGUGAGUUCCUCCUUCUCUGUCCUUGCUAUAGCUCUUCUCACAAAAUCUCUCUCUGGCAAAGUUGUUGUCAGGAGAGUUAUUAUGUCAAGGACCAACCAGCCCUGAAAUCUGGUGAAAAUGUCUGUCUGCAUGUAUAGAUCUGCUGUUUGUGGUUGAGGGUAAAUUAACAUUCAGCUUGCAGUAUUUGAAAAGAAACCCUCUCUAAUCAUCCUGAAUUUAAUUUGACAGCAAGACCACAGGAGGUCCAGAGGUCAGUUACAGUAUAUAGGAGCAAGAAUAGCAUGCUGAAAAUUGGUGACCAAAACAGAUCUGGAAACAAAGCAGCUGUUUUCUAACAGUGACAAGGGCAUGAAGUGGGGUUGGAAAGGAUCCUGAAAAAGCUGAAAGAAGAAUCCAGUGGCCUUUUCUCAUGGGAAGGUGAAAGAUUUCCACUCAAGCGAGUCAUGUAGUCCUAUGAGGUAGGCACACGUUGAAAGAGGUAGGCUUUGGCACGCUUUUUCCAGUGCCCAGAGGUGGAAGAAGAGGAUGCCGAUUAAGAUCUAUAGAAAGGUUAAA
rnacentral:lncRNA from 1 species